rnacentral:rRNA from 1 species
CCCUUAGAUGUCCGGGGCUGCACGCGCGCUACACUGAAGGAAUCAGCGUGCUAAAACCAUUGUCGAAAGGCAUUGGUAAACCCAUUAAAAUCCUACGUGAUUGGGAUCGGGAAUUGCAAUUAUUUCCCUUGAACGAGGAAUUCCCAGUAAGUGUGGGUCAUAAGCUCGCGUUGAUUACGUCCCUGCCCUUUGUACACACCGCCCGUCGCUGCCCGGGACUGAGCCGUUUCGAGAAGAGCGGGGACUGCUGCUGUCGGGGCUUUCGGGCCUUGGCUUCGGUGGAAACCGCUUUAAUCGCAGUGGCUUGAACCGGGCAAAAGUCGUAACA